CGCGCCUUUGGCGUGGGGGAGCGCGGGAGGGACAACUUUAGGUAUCACCUGAAGACGUUCCACCGCAGCUCCGAAGCGCCGGACUUGCGCCAACGGGAUCGCGCAGCACGAACACUGUGCAUCCGCGCUACGUCAGAACGGGCGGCCCAGCGCUUAAGAGCGCCGCUGCUUCCGGAGGCCGCAGAGCCCGUGCUGUCGGCAAUCCGCCGCCGGGAGCGCGCCGCCCAGCUGCAGGAGGAGGAGGCCCUCCUGCCCGGGGAGGCGCACCCGGAGCGGGUGCUCCAGGCCUCCAUCCGCCUGGAUGGGCCUGACCACCCCCUAUUUUCCCAUCAC